CAGCAGCCACGGUAAUACGUAGGUGGCAAGCGUUGUCCGGGAUUAUUGGGCGUAAAGGGCUCGCAGGCGGUUUCUUAAGUCUGAUGUGAAAGCCCCCGGCUCAACCGGGGAGGGUCAUUGGAAACUGGGAAACUUGAGUGCAGAAGAGGAGAGUGGAAUACCACGUGUAGCGGUGAAAUGCGUAGAGAUGUGGAGGAACACCAGUGGCGAAGGCGACUCUCUGGUCUGUAACUGACGCUGAGGAGCGAAAGCGUGGGGAGCGAACAGGAUUAGAUACCCCGGUAGUCCCUGUCUCUUAUAC
rnacentral:rRNA from 1 species